GUAUGACAUGAUGGUAUCAUCUUUCGGGACUGACCUAAUAUGAGGAUAUUUAACUUAACUGAUCAUAC